rnacentral:misc_RNA from 1 species
AUGGAAGCUUUCCCGUGGAAAAUGGAGGCCCCGCUUGCUGGACUUCGUCUCGUCCUUGGACGAGGAGUUAGUGAAAUCUGCUUCUCAAAAGGCGUUUGAAUCGCUUCCUGAUUUAAGGAAAGCUGUUUCUCAGCUUACGGUUUUGAAAGGCGUCGGUCCGGCAACUGCCUCCGCCGUUUUGGCUGCCUAUGCGCCUGAUGUCGCACCUUUCAUGUCUGAUGAGGCUAUGGAAGCAGCUCUGGGGA